CAGCCGCCGCGGGAAUACAGAGGGUGCGAGCGUUAAUCGGAUUUACUGGGCGUAAAGCGUGCGUAGGCGGCUUUUUAAGUCGGAUGUGAAAUCCCUGAGCUUAACUUAGGAAUUGCAUUCGAUACUGGGAAGCUAGAGUAUGGGAGAGGAUGGUAGAAUUCCAGGUGUAGCGGUGAAAUGCGUAGAGAUCUGGAGGAAUACCGAUGGCGAAGGCAGCCAUCUGGCCUAAUACUGACGCUGAGGUACGAAAGCAUGGGGAGCAAACAGGAUUAGAUACCCCGGUAGUCCCUGUCUCUUAUAU
rnacentral:rRNA from 1 species